CCGUCUCCACUCCACUUCUGCCACUUCUGCCACCCUCCCAUGACCACACUCAGAAGUUGAGCUCUACCUCCGAAAGAUGGGUAAAGACCAAACUCCUGAGUAUGAAAAGCAAGACCCUUCAUGAAUGAACUGGACUCCACGUGUGCCUCCACCUCCUUUUAUUGCUAAGCCCUGCCUCAUCACACACGAGUCUGCAUUUCUCUAAACACGCUCUCAUCUUGGAGCCUUGGCUCAUGUGUGCUCUCCACCCCCACAGCACCCUUCCCCUGCUCUUUGACUUGCUAACACUCAUCUUUCCCUCAGCUCUUAACUCAGGAGUCACUUCCUCCAGGAAACCUCCCUUUAUUUCCUCCUGAGUAAAGACGAGUACUCUUCACCCAGUUCUCCACAGCACCCUUUAUCUAUCUGAAUCAUAACACUUAGCCACACCCAUACUGUAAAUGAAUUUUUUGCUUCUCUGGGUCCUUUAUUAAUUGCACCAAAGAGAAAAACUAAUGCUUACUACAGGUUUACGUGUGCCAGGCAUUAUUCUAAGAAUUUUGCUUUUUGCUCUUUUUAAUCCUUACAUCAAUCCGAAGUAAGGCUAAAAUGAUCAUCCCCAUUUUAUCAUCACAUCGGCAAAAUCGUUUGCCCAAAUAACACAGCAAGCAAAUGGAGGAAAGAUCCAGAGUCAAGCCCAUGCCUCAUUCAUGUGCAUCCCCAGAAGCCAUCCUAGCUCUGGUACAUGGUAGACUGAAUGAGAGGGAGUCAGUGGAGAAACAGAUAACUGACAUCGCAGGAGUCUGGGGGAUAGAAAUUUGCCACCUAGCGUUGCCCAUCACUCAAAUUACCUUUUGAAAUUCAUAAAAUAAUAUCUGGGCAUGGACAACAUGAAUGUAUGCAAAUAAAUGAGUCAAGCCUCUUUA